AAUGAACGCUGGCGGCGUGCUUAACACAUGCAAGUCGAACGCGAAAGUUCCUUCGGGGACGAGUAGAGUGGCGGACGGGUGAGUAACGCGUAAGAAUCUACCUAUUAGUGGAGAAUACCUUCGAGAAAUUGGAGUUAAUACUGCAUAGUCCCUACGGGGUAAAGACGGCCUCUUGCUGUCGCUGAUAGAUGAGUUUGCGUACUAUUAGCUAGUUGGUAGGGUAAAGGCCUACCAAGGCGAUGAUGGUUAGCCGGCCUGAGAGGGUGAACGGCCACAUUGGGACUGAGAUACGGCCCAGACUCCUACGGGAGGCAGCAGUGGGGGAUAUUGCACAAUGGACGCAAGUCUGAUGCAGCGACGCCGCGUGGAGGAUGAAGGUUUUCGGAUCGUAAACUCCUGUUAAGUGGGAAGAAAGAACCAAUGUUAAUAGCAUUGGGAGAUGACGGUACCACUAGAGAAAGCUCCGGCUAACUUCGUG
rnacentral:rRNA from 1 species